UGAUACCAGGGUCAAAAAGUCUUUCACACACAUGAGCUUGCUCAUCAGUGGGUGAAAGACCUUGCGACCCGCCCCGAUAUGAGCAUACGAUAUGCGAAUAUCCUGAUGCUGAUUGCGGGAAUGUGUAACAUGAAGCAAUCAGUAGGUAUCA
rnacentral:sRNA from 1 species